GAUCGCAGGCUGCAACUCGCCUGCGUCAAGUUGGAAUUGCUAGUAAUCGCGGAUCAGCAUGCCGCGGUGAAUACGUUCCCGGGCCUUGUACACACCGCCCGUCACACCAUGAGAGUCGGGAACACCCGAAGUCCGUAGUCUAACCGCAAGGAGGGCGCGGCCGAAGGUGGGUUCGAUAAUUGGGGUGAAGUCGUAACAAGGUAGC
rnacentral:rRNA from 1 species